UUAAGCGACUAAGCGUACACGGUGGAUGCCCUGGCAGUCAGAGGCGAUGAAGGACGUGCUAAUCUGCGAUAAGCGUCGGUAAGGUGAUAUGAACCGUUAUAACCGGCGAUUUCCGAAUGGGGAAACCCAGUGUGWUUCGWCACACUAUCAUUAACUGAAUCCAUAGGUUAAUGAGGCGAACCGGGGGAACUGAAACAUCUAAGUACCCCGAGGAAAAGAAAUCAACCGAGAUUCCCCCAGUAGCGGCGAGCGAACGGGGAGCAGCCCAGAGCCUGAAUCAGUGUGUGUGUUAGUGGAAGCGUCUGGAAAGGCGCGCGAUACAGGGUGACAGCCCCGUACACAAAAAUGCACAUGCUGUGAGCUCGAUGAGUAGGGCGGGACACGUGGUAUCCUGUCUGAAUAUGGGGGGACCAUCCUCCAAGGCUAAAUACUCCUGACUGACCGAUAGUGAACCAGUACCGUGAGGGAAAGGCGAAAAGAACCCCGGCGAGGGGAGUGAAAAAGAACCUGAAACCGUGUACGUACAAGCAGUGGGAGCACAGAGCAAUCUGUGUGACUGCGUACCUUUUGUAUAAUGGGUCAGCGACUUAUAUUCUGUAGCAAGGUUAACCGAAUAGGGGAGCCGAAGGGAAACCGAGUCUUAACUGGGCGUUAAGUUGCAGGGUAUAGACCCGAAACCCGGUGAUCUAGCCAUGGGCAGGUUGAAGGUUGGGUAACACUAACUGGAGGACCGAACCGACUAAUGUUGAAAAAUUAGCGGAUGACUUGUGGCUGGGGGUGAAAGGCCAAUCAAACCGGGAGAUAGCUGGUUCUCCCCGAAAGCUAUUUAGGUAGCGCCUCGUGAAUUCAUCUCCGGGGGUAGAGCACUGUUUCGGCAAGGGGGUCAUCCCGACUUACCAACCCGAUGCAAACUGCGAAUACCGGAGAAUGUUAUCACGGGAGACACACGGCGGGUGCUAACGUCCGUCGUGAAGAGGGAAACAACCCAGACCGCCAGCUAAGGUCCCAAAGUCAUGGUUAAGUGGGAAACGAUGUGGGAAGGCCCAGACAGCCAGGAUGUUGGCUUAGAAGCAGCCAUCAUUUAAAGAAAGCGUAAUAGCUCACUGGUCGAGUCGGCCUGCGCGGAAGAUGUAACGGGGCUAAACCAUGCACCGAAGCUGCGGCAGCGACGCUUAUGCGUUGUUGGGUAGGGGAGCGUUCUGUAAGCCUGYGAAGGUGURCUGUGAGGYAUGCUGGAGGUAUCAGAAGUGCGAAUGCUGACAUAAGUAACGAUAAAGCGGGUGAAAAGCCCGCUCGCCGGAAGACCAAGGGUUCCUGUCCAACGUUAAUCGGGGCAGGGUGAGUCGACCCCUAAGGCGAGGCCGAAAGGCGUAGUCGAUGGGAAACAGGUUAAUAUUCCUGUACUUGGUGUUACUGCGAAGGGGGGACGGAGAAGGCUAUGUUGGCCGGGCGACGGUUGUCCCGGUUUAAGCGUGUAGGCUGGUUUUCCAGGCAAAUCCGGAAAAUCAAGGCUGAGGCGUGAUGACGAGGCACUACGGUGCUGAAGCAACAAAUGCCCUGCUUCCAGGAAAAGCCUCUAAGCAUCAGGUAACAUCAAAUCGUACCCCAAACCGACACAGGUGGUCAGGUAGAGAAUACCAAGGCGCUUGAGAGAACUCGGGUGAAGGAACUAGGCAAAAUGGUGCCGUAACUUCGGGAGAAGGCACGCUGAUAUGUAGGUGAAGUCCCUCGCGGAUGGAGCUGAAAUCAGUCGAAGAUACCAGCUGGCUGCAACUGUUUAUUAAAAACACAGCACUGUGCAAACACGAAAGUGGACGUAUACGGUGUGACGCCUGCCCGGUGCCGGAAGGUUAAUUGAUGGGGUYAGCGCAAGCGAAGCUCUUGAUCGAAGCCCCGGUAAACGGCGGCCGUAACUAUAACGGUCCUAAGGUAGCGAAAUUCCUUGUCGGGUAAGUUCCGACCUGCACGAAUGGCGUAAUGAUGGCCAGGCUGUCUCCACCCGAGACUCAGUGAAAUUGAACUCGCUGUGAAGAUGCAGUGUACCCGCGGCAAGACGGAAAGACCCCGUGAACCUUUACUAUAGCUUGACACUGAACAUUGAGCCUUGAUGUGUAGGAUAGGUGGGAGGCUUUGAAGUGUGGACGCCAGUCUGCAUGGAGCCGRCCUUGAAAUACCACCCUUUAAUGUUUGAUGUUCUAACGUKGACCCGUAAUCCGGGUUGCGGACAGUGUCUGGUGGGUAGUUUGACUGGGGCGGUCUCCUCCUAAAGAGUAACGGAGGAGCACGAAGGUUGGCUAAUCCUGGUCGGACAUCAGGAGGUUAGUGCAAUGGCAUAAGCCAGCUUGACUGCGAGCGUGACGGCGCGAGCAGGUGCGAAAGCAGGUCAUAGUGAUCCGGUGGUUCUGAAUGGAAGGGCCAUCGCUCAACGGAUAAAAGGUACUCCGGGGAUAACAGGCUGAUACCGCCCAAGAGUUCAUAUCGACGGCGGUGUUUGGCACCUCGAUGUCGGCUCAUCACAUCCUGGGGCUGAAGUAGGUCCCAAGGGUAUGGCUGUUCGCCAUUUAAAGUGGUACGCGAGCUGGGUUUAGAACGUCGUGAGACAGUUCGGUCCCUAUCUGCCGUGGGCGCUGGAGAAUUGAGGGGGGCUGCUCCUAGUACGAGAGGACCGGAGUGGACGCAUCACUGGUGUUCGGGUUGUCAUGCCAAUGGCACUGCCCGGUAGCUAAAUGCGGAAGAGAUAAGUGCUGAAAGCAUCUAAGCACGAAACUUGCCCCGAGAUGAGUUCUCCCUGACUCCUUGAGAGUCCUGAAGGAACGUUGAAGACGACGACGUUGAUAGGCCGGGUGUGUAAGCGCAGCGAUGCGUUGAGCUAACCGGUACUAAUGAACCGUGAGGCUUAACCUU
rnacentral:rRNA from 1 species